AAGGAAUUAGCUUAAUGGUAAAGCAAAUUUUUCUUAAUAACAUUUUAGAAAAAAAAGACAAAAGUUCGAAUCAUUUAUUCUUUA